UACGUAGGGGGCAAGCGUUGUCCGGAAUUAUUGGGCGUAAAGGGCUCGUAGGCGGUCCAUCGCGUCGGGAGUGAAAAGCUGGGGCUCAACCCCAGUCCUGCUUCCGAUACGGGUGGACUAGAGGUAGGCAGGGGAGAACGGAAUUCCUGGUGUAGCGGUGAAAUGCGCAGAUAUCAGGAGGAACACCGGUGGCGAAGGCGGCUUCCUGGCCUGCAACUGACGCUGAGACGCGAAAGCGUGGGGAGCGAACCGG
rnacentral:rRNA from 1 species